rnacentral:rRNA from 1 species
GUAGUCAUAUGCUUGUCUCAAAGAUUAAGCCAUGCAUGUCUAAGUAUAAGAAAUCUACUGCGAAACUGCGAAUGGCUCAUUAAAUCAGUUAUCGUUUAUUUGAUAGUGCCUCACUACUUGGAUAACCGUGGUAAUUCUAGAGCUAAUACAUGCUGAAAGCCCUGACCUCUGGAAGGGGCGUAUUUAUUAGAUAAAAAACCAAUGGCUUCGGCCUCCUUGGUGAUUCAUGAUAACUUUACGAAUCCUAUGGCCUUGUGCCGGGGAUGGUUCAUUCAAAUUUCUGCCCUAUCAACUUUCGAUGGUAGGAUAGUGGCCUACCAUGGUUUCAACGGGUAACGGGGAAU